UUAUCCGGAUCGAGGACAGUGUAUGGUGGGUAGUUUGACUGGGGCGGUCUCCUCCCAAAGAGUAACGGAGGAGUACGAAGGUGCGCUCAGACCGGUCGGAAAUCGGUCGUAGAGUAUAAAGGCAAAAGCGCGCUUGACUGCGAGACCCACACGUCGAGCAGGUACGAAAGUAGGUCUUAGUGAUCCGGUGGUUCUGUAUGGAAGGGCCAUCGCUCAACGGAUAAAAGGUACUCCGGGGAUAACAGGCUGAUACCGCCCAAGAGUUCAUAUCGACGGCGGUGUUUGGCACCUCGAUGUCGGCUCAUCACAUCCUGGGGCUGAAGCCGGUCCCAAGGGUAUGGCUGUUCGCCAUUUAAAGUGGUACGCGAGCUGGGUUUAGAACGUCGUGAGACAGUUCGGUCCCUAUCUGCCGUGGACGUUUGAGAUUUGAGAGGGGCUGCUCCUAGUACGAGAGGACCGGAGUGGACGAACCUCUGGUGUUCCGGUUGUCACGCCAGUGGCAUUGCCGGGUAGCUAUGUUCGGAAGAGAUAACCGCUGAAAGCAUCUAAGCGGGAAACUUGCCUCAAGAUGAGAUCUCACUGGGAUCUAGAAUCCCCUGAAGGGCCGUCGAAGACUACGACGUUGAUAGGUUGGGUGUGUAAGCGCUGUGAGGCGUUGAGCUAACCAAUACUAAUUGCCCGUGAGGCUUGACCAUAUAACAC
rnacentral:rRNA from 1 species